UACAGAGGGGGCAAGCGUUGUUCGGAAUUACUGGGCGUAAAGGGCGCGUAGGCGGCCUUCUAAGUCGAACGUGAAAUCCCCGGGCUCAACCCGGGAACUGCGUCCGAUACUGGAAGGCUUGAAUUCGGGAGAGGGACGCGGAAUUCCAGGUGUAGCGGUGAAAUGCGUAGAUAUCUGGAGGAACACCGGUGGCGAAGGCGGCAUCCUGGACCGGCAUUGACGCUGAGGCGCGAAAGCCAGGGGAGCAAACGGG
rnacentral:rRNA from 1 species